AUGACAUCGAGUCUGCUCGUCAGCCUAUCAGAGAAAAUCCUCGUCUGAGCUGAUAUAAGCUCAGUCAUCCUACUCCAAUACUCAUCUGUGUCUCCCGCAGGAACAGAUGAUGAAGGUCCAACCUCUGAAGGUGCAGUAGGAUGAUCCAUAUGCUCCUCAUCCUCAGGGAUAGGGUCUCCAAUAUCUGGUGCAUCACCCUCUGGUGCAUCACCCUGAAUCCCUGCUCCAGUAUGAACCCACUGCCCGUUCACUUUCUCAUAGCCCAUGCGUA
rnacentral:lncRNA from 1 species